UACGAAGGGGGCUAGCGUUGUUCGGAUUUACUGGGCGUAAAGGGCGCGUAGGCGGAUUUUUAAGUCAGGGGUGAAAUCCCAAGGCUCAACCUUGGAACUGCCUUUGAUACUGGGAAUCUUGAGUCCGGGAGAGGUGAGUGGAACUGCGAGUGUAGAGGUGAAAUUCGUAGAUAUUCGCAAGAACACCAGUGGCGAAGGCGGCUCACUGGCCCGGAACUGACGCUGAGGUGCGAAAGCGUGGGGAGCAAACAGG
rnacentral:rRNA from 1 species